rnacentral:lncRNA from 1 species
AGCAAUAACAUCCAAAACAUAUUUAAUAUUAUUAUAUAUUGAACAUGCCUUAAACAUUUCUAUCAUUGUUAACUCUUCUGGCUAUUACAUAUACCAUAUCAUUCUCAUUUGCUAUUUACAUAACAUCUUUAUCUUGUUAAUAAAAAGUUUACAUAUACCAAUCCUAAACCAUUAUCAGGUUAGGAUUCCCAAAAGAUAUUACCAUAAUGCUACCAAAAAGGGGGGUACAUUAACAUCCUACACAUACUAACACAUUUACAAUAUUUACAUAAUCAUAGGUACACAUGCCACAUAAAUCUCCAGACCGAUACUCAGAUAUCUUUAUCCCGCACUGGAACGAUGGAACGCACUCGCUCCUCCUCAGUGAUGGUCAUGCCUGGCUCGCGAGAUGGAGUACUUGGACUGUCCUAUCUCCUGAGGAUAAUUCCAAACAGCCGUCUGGACCCUCUCCAUGGAAUGAACAUACAAAAAACUCAUCAUUUCUUUCUGUCUCUUAUUACAUUCAUCCAGUCGACCCUCCAGAUGGUAAAUAUAUCCAUUAGAGGCUGUCAUAAUGUUCUCCAUCCCAUGACGUUCUUCAUGAAGUCCUUGAAUUUGUCCUUCCAGAUACUGGACCCUAUCUUCAGACACUUGAAGUCUAGCCAACAAUUCAUUAUUCUAAUCCAUCAAAUAAUGGACCAUUGCCCCGAGUUGUAUCGCUUCCUCCAUUUCAUUUUGUUGAGGUCCAACAUCUUACCCCUCAUUAAUUUCUUCCACUGGGUCUUCCUCCUCCUCUUCUACAGGCUCUGGGUCUAGAUCUAUCACCUGAGUUGGGACUAUAUAGGUGGUGGAGCGAUCUUCUCCUCAUUGAUGACUAGUUCUUCUUGAAUUUCUGCCAUCCUAUACACAAACAAAUAACUUGAUUAAUACAUAAUACAAGUUAUACAACAAAUAACAAAUAACAGUUAUUUUUAAAUUAUUUUCAUUUACAUUUUAAAAUGAACUUCCACAGUUCAUCUCUUUUCAACUCUAUAUGAGUUAUUUAUUUCAUGUCUGUCUCACUAACUUAAAGUUAUAACCCAAGGUUCCCAUCCUAAAGCUUCUAACUUAAAACUUUGAUACCAACUUACGACGCCCCCAAAUUCGGGUACCUGAAACCCUUAUUCAGUGAUUCACGAUAUCAAACAUUCAACAUAUAAUAAACUUAAACUUAGUAAAGUUAUUACAUCAAAGUUCUACUAAUCCCAGGUACGUAGACCUUUAAAUGCUUAUUACAUGAUAAUUUAAUAUUUAUAAACAUGUAAACUAUCUAUUACAUCAACUCUCAGCUAUUCUGUUUUUUUCCCUUUCCCCUUGUCCUUUCCAAACCCUUCUGCCCGAGUCUGCUCAGCUAAAAACAUUUAUAAUAAAACAAGUAUGAGCAUUUAAUUGCUCAGCAAGUAAUAUCAUUUUUUAAGGCUUAACAAGAAAUAAAUGUUUUCUUUGAAGCAUGCUUUGACAGUGAAUCAAAACUGUAAAGCCAUAAAUCUUGAAUCAUUCACAUUUUUGAAAUAUCAUAACAAUAUUGAAUAACUGAGAGGUUUUAAGACCAUGAACAUAUUUUUUUUCUUUUCUUGAAAAGGUUCAAUAAAUUUUUUUAUCUGUGAACCGUCUUAUCUUACGAGCACGUAGGGUGAUCAACCCUUUAUGGCCUGUAUUGAUCAAUACUAUCUUAUUCAGAAUAAUUUUCAUGUUCUACGUCACCACUCCCAAAGUGCAAUAAAAAUAUCCCAUUUCAGGGUAUGUUCAUUCUCAGUUUAGAAUCCAAACUACAACAAUAUAGCUGGAUAGCUUAAAUCAUGGCACAAUAAUAUUUCAAGACUUAUUAUAAAAAAAUUGAAAUAUUUUACUUCUAUGUCUGGCUAGAAGGAAUGGCUCAGACUUCUUUGCAACCUACUCACGUAUAUUGAAUUUCAUUUGAUAUACAUGAAAAUACAUUACCCAAUCUUUUGAAGCUGAUUGGAAUAAAAAGGUUAUUCAACCUUAUAAUAUUCAUAAAUAAGAAAAGACAAUUUAGAAUUUAGAGAACCUGUCCACAUGAAUAAUCUCAGAAUAUUUGCUCAAUAAAGAGUAAGAUUUAGAUACUUGCCUUAUUUGUAGACUAUUGGUACAAUUUCAGUUUAACUUAUGUGUUCUCACAGAUCCUACACAAUUAUUUGCAUUCACAUACAUAUUAGCCAAUUAGCCAAGUCAUAUAACUUGUAUAUUCACAUAUCAUAGUCACACUGAUUAUGUUAUUAGUUUAUACUCCCAUACUUGAGAUAUUUCUUUACAUUUUUCAAAUAUCUCAUCCAUGUUUUUACAAUAGCUAUAUCUUUCUUUUGUAGGGUUUGACAUAAUUCCAAUUCAUGACCCUUAUAUGAUUUUAGUUAAUAUUUCUUUUCUAAGUUAUGCCAAGAUAGCUCUUUCGUAGUAUUAGCAACUCUUUGUGACACUAACUUAAACUUAGCUUAAAAGUUCCAAAUUAAAAGUCUAAUCAUGUUAAACGCCAUCUUAUAGACUACAAAUUCACUUCUAGUGAAUUACAUGUUUUAGGUGUAACUAAAACUUGUGUGAAUAAUUUAUAGCUCUAAUCAUUACUUGUAGUUUCAUUUUUGUAUACUAAGAUGUUAAACAUUCUUGUUUACUUUUAAGAGUGUUAAAACAGUCUCAACUUAACCCACCGUGUGGCAAUCAAGCUUUGCAUGGCCCAUGGGGCUUGGCUAGGCUUGGUGUGGCCUCAUGUGGCCCCGCGGCCCCAAAUUCAUAUCCGCCCAACAGUCCUUUACUAAGUUUAAUGGUUUACUUAGUUUAACAAGCUCCAUAUUUGUCACUUAUUAAUUUAUUUUUAUUUUUGUUUCUAUUCACAGCUAACUGUUGCUGCCAGUGGGCAGCAGCUCUUAACUUUUGACAUUAGGCUUGUUAGCUUUUAAUCUCCCAUAACUUUCUAUUACACUAAAUUUUGAGUCAUUAGAUAUGUGACACAACUCACUCAUGGAAGGGCAUAAUAGUUGAACAUCUCAAGCAACAUAGUUGUGUUGACUGAAGGUCUAAAGAAAGUCCCUAGUCUCCACCCAACUCAGCUACUGCUGUUAAUCGUUGCUGUUUUUUAGCAACAGUCCUUUACUUUGGGUGGUUAACUUCCCCACUUUUUGAUUAUUUAGGUUGAGUUUUCAAUACAAUAUAGGUUGUGCACACACAUCUUUAGGAGAUAUGUUAGCUAAACAUUUUAGGUAUUAUAUUACAAAGCAGAACCAUAAAUGGUUUCUUUCGCUGCUGUAGCAGCUACUUGCUACACGCCUCUGCUGGUUAUAGCUGCUGCCAGUGGGCAGCAGCUUUUUCUUUUAGUCCCUACCUUGAUGCACCUUAAUUCAUACAUUAUAUUUUUAACUCAAGUUGGCUGCCCACAUUUGCCAUGGUAGUGUGUUGUGGCUGCUUGAUGUUGCCCCAUGGCUGCAAUCCCUUUUCCUUAUGAUAGCAACAUAUAACCUAUAUAAACCCAAAACAUUAGCCUAUGUGAGCCAAAACCAAAAAAGGUAUUUAGCUUGACAACUAAGAGCUCAGAAAAGCUCAUGUUGUUGCUACCACUGUUGUUACUGCUACCACAAGCAGCCACCCUGUGCUCAACAUAGCUACUUUCCUAAUUUCUUACUUCUAACCGUUACGACCAAUUAUAUCCAUUAUGAGAUAUAUUGCACACAGCUUAUGGAAAUAUUUUUAGAAAUUAUAAAAUCUCUAUUUUAGUUUCAAUAAGUUCCCCAAAGCAGUUGGUAAAAGUAGCUUAAAACAUUGAAUUUCAAAUCUUUCGUUUUGGCUAGAAAUUGAAUUUCGUUAUAAGCUAGUAAGCUUAAACUCUCUAAUUAUUAUUAGAUCUGUUAACUAAACCAGGCCCAUGCUUUACUUGGUUCAAAUAUUCAGUUUUUAACCAAAAAGUUCUUUUAGAACUUUUAUUGAACAGGUGAUGGGCAUAGUUUUAAGCUACAAAUUUCUCAGCCAUUGGUUUACAUCAUAAAUCCAUAUCACCAUCCUUAUGUCUCCUCAACCCAACCUAAACUCCUCUAGCUAUAUAUCAAACAAUAGCUGUCCAAAACAUUAACGAAACAUGAAGAUUCAAGCAAUUAUUAAAUUAAAAAAACUAACUGUUCUGUUCUAAUGCUCAAUGGCCCAUCCUGCUUGAACAGUUAGAACAACAAUAAGCAACUAGUUGGUUUAUUUACUUAAUGCAAGCACUUCCUAAUUUUAACUUAUGCAAACCAAAAUAAUAAUACUUUCCAUGCAUAUCAUAAUAACCAUGAUCUCACAGUUUUCAUUUCAAUUUGUGAAACCCCACUAGCUAAUUCACUUUACCAGAAUCUUUAUAUUAAACACAUAAUAAGAAUAAGGUGUAAUACCUUUGUUCUGCUUGCUUUGAUUUCUUGUUAUCUGCUAAUCUUAAACUUCACUGCUAACACGAAAAUCAAAGCUUCAACUAUUAUUCCUUUUUCCUUUUAUUAACCGAGCAAUUUACUGGAGCAAAGCUUGGAGUUGUGUGAUAUAACUAGAAAGAAAAACACUGGUCGGAGUAUGGGAAGGGAAGAGUAGAAGAAAACUGAGCUUUUAGCAGGAUUACCCUCCCUAGCUUCGCUUGGUGUUAUGCCUAUUAAAAUAAUGGCGUGACACGUCUAAUGCCGACUCUGCUCUUGGUUUAAGGUAAUGCCUCCAGCUCAUGCUCUAAUAUCUCAGUUCAAACACUAAGGCCUG